CAAGAAGAGGGCUAUGCUGCAUCUCUGAGGCUUGGAAAAACAUCACCAGGAGGAAGGAGUUUGGAGGGAAAUGACCCCAAGCUUUCACUGUGGUCUCGAGUGAAGAAAUGGUAUGAUGAAGUAAAAAUGGCUUCUGAAUCUUGGAUUUCCUCGCCACCAAAACUGCCACAUCCAGCAUAUGGCACCAUGUCUAGUGGCAGAGAGAGAAAGAAGAAAGAAAAGAUGCAAUGACACAGGUGCAGAAAGGCUGGGGAUCUGGCUGACUAUGUGAACGCUAAUAUAACCACACCAACUAUACAA